UACGUAGGAUGCAAGCGUUAUCCGGAAUGACUGGGCGUAAAGGGUGCGUAGGCGGUUUACCAAGUUGGUAGCGUAAUCCCGGGGCUUAACUCCGGAACUACUACCAAAACUGGCAGGCUUGAGUGCGGCAGGGGUAUGUGGAAUUCCUAGUGUAGCGGUGGAAUGCGUAGAUAUUAGGAGGAACACCAGAGGCGAAAGCGACAUACUGGGCCGUAACUGACGCUGAGGCACGAAAGCGUGGGGAGCAAACAGG
rnacentral:misc_RNA from 1 species